rnacentral:rRNA from 1 species
AGAGUUUGAUCCUGGCUCAGGAUGAACGCUAGCGGCAGGCUUAAUACAUGCAAGUCGUGGGGCAGCAUGAGUAGCAAUACUUGAUGGCGACCGGCAAACGGGUGCGGAACACGUACACAACCUUCCUUUAAGUGGGGAAUAGCCCAAAGAAAUUUGGAUUAAUACCCCGUAACAUAACGAAGUGGCAUCACUUUGUUAUUAUAGCUACGGCGCUUGAAGAUGGGUGUGCGGCUGAUUAGGUAGUUGGCGGGGUAACGGCCCACCAAGCCUGCGAUCAGUAACUGGUGUGAGAGCACGACCAGUCACACGGGCACUGAGACACGGGCCCGACUCCUACGGGAGGCAGCAGUAAGGAAUAUUGGUCAAUGGACGCAAGUCUGAACCAGCCAUGCCGCGUGAAGGAUGAAGGUCCUCUGGAUUGUAAACUUCUUUUAUUUGGGACGAAAAAAGGCCUUUCUAGGUCACUUGACGGUACCAUAUGAAUAAGCACCGGCUAACUCCGUGCCAGCAGCCGCGGUAAUACGGGAGGGUGCAAGCGUUAUCCGGAUUCACUGGGUUUAGAGGGUGCGUAGGUGGGCUUGUAAGUCAGUGGUGAAAUCUCUAGGCUUAACCCUGGAAACUGCCAUUGAUACUAUAAGCCUUGAAUUUUCUGGAGGUAAGCGGAAUAUGUCAUGUAGCGGUGAAAUGCUUUAGAUAUGACAUAGAACACCAAUUGCGAACGGCAGCUUGCUACAGGAAUAUUGACACUGACGCACGAAAGGCGGUGGGGAUCAAACAGGAUUAGAUACCCUGUAGUCCACGCCCUAAACGAUGGAUACUCGACAUAUGCGAUACGCUGUUAUGUGUCUGAGCGAAGCAUUAUGUAUCCCCACUGGUAGUACGAUCGCAUGAUGAACUCAAGGUAAGUCGUCGGCGUCCGCCUAGCGUGCAGCAUUGUGAUUUUAACUUUCCGAAUUG